ensembl:processed_transcript Six3os1 SIX homeobox 3, opposite strand 1
CAACCUUCCAGGCAACUAGAACUCUAGGCCUGUAUUUGAGAAAGGAUGGGCAGGUUCAGUUCACACCCCUCGGAGAAUGACUUCCAGUUUCACACAAUCCCAUCCCUGGUCUCUCUUCCAUUGCGUUUAUAGCCAUGGAGAGGUCUGAAGAAGUUAGCCCAGGAAAGACCACGCUCCUUAGGCAAGACUGGGACCCCAAAAAAACCUGGACGAGAGGGGGAAAAUCCUAGGAAAAGGGAGUGGAGACAGCCACCCACUAGGACAAGCAUCUACUCCUUCUCUCCUCUUCUUGGGCCAAGGAACACAGCUAACUAGUUAAUAUAAGAAACCAUUAGAAACUGCACUUCACUCCUCAGGAAGAGUUGACAUCUCUCACUGCCCUCUCGCCUCCAUUGUUCUUUCUCCUGGACAGUUGGAACUCAAGGUCCCCUUUCACUCCCUUCUUGAGUACCCCUAGCACUUGCUGGGUUGGUGGAGCAGGGAACUCUCGGUUCUCCACUCAGGACUUUCUGGAAGCCCAUCUUCGUAUGCUCACCAGCCCACCCUCCUACGCUGGUCAGAGUGAGAUUGCUAACCUCAAGACCCCAUUCAAUGCCAGCUUUCAACUACUGCUGAAGACCAAUGUAGGUCCUGGAAUAGAAGAACUGCAGAGUAUCCGGAGCUGGCCGACCCCAGACUGAUUCUCAACAGGUGGCUGGGUAGUGCCCCCCACCCUGUGUUGGUCGUGCGGGACCCAUCGCACACAGAGAAGCCACCUUACCCCUCACCUCACCCCGUCGGCCAAAGACUGACCACCCGCGCCCGAGUGUGGGGAGGGGUGGGAAUUCCGGAUGACACACACACACACACACACACACACACACACACACACACACCAGGGUAGGGGAACAGGGAAGAUCUUACCUGCAGAAAGGUAAGAGAAGCCGGGAGCGUGUAGCAGCGGCGGAUAAAUAUUCAUUAGGAAGUGUAAGUCCUUUCAAAGGGCUCCGCGCGCGCGCUCUAGCUCCUGUCUCUCUUUCUCUCCCUCCCUCUGUCCUCCAGGAAGGCUUCCCCUCCUCUAGCUAUCUCAACGCCCCCCCCCCCUUCCUGCGAAAUACCGGGUGGAUCCUAGGCUAGCUAACCUGUUGGGAAGCCUGAACUGCGGUAGCGCCUCUGCAGCUAGCAGUUUGCUUUCGCUCCUGGGGCGCGCGUCCCCCCCCCCCAUCCCCUCCCCUCCUUCCUUUCGCCCAGCCCCUCACCCCUCCUAAAUCACUACAUCAUUAGCUUUAUUGGGCGGGGGGGGGGCGGGUAACGGAGCAGCCAGACGCACCUCUCCAUAGAAGGGUGAAUAGUUGGUGCCCUGCGAUGCAACCCCAACUCCAUCUCCACCUCAUUCUCACCCAUCUGCACAUCCUCAUCCAAUCUUGCUUCUUUUUCUUC